UAGGGAAUCUUCCGCAAUGGACGAAAGUCUGACGGAGCAACGCCGCGUGAGUGAAGAAGGAUUUCGGUUCGUAAAACUCUAUUGUUAGGGAAGAAAAAAUGUAUAGUAACUAUAUACAAAAGAGACGGUACCUAACCAGAAAGCCACGGCUAACUACGUGCCAGCAGCCGCGGUAAUACGUAGGUGGCAAGCGUUGUCCGGAAUUAUUGGGCGUAAAGCGCGCGCAGGUGGUUUAGAAAGUCUGAUGUGAAAGCCCACGGCUCAACCGUGGAGGGUCAUUGGAAACUAAUAAACUUGAGUGCAGGAGAGAAAAGUGGAAUUCCUAGUGUAGCGGUGAAAUGCGUAGAGAUUAGGAGGAACACCGGUGGCGAAAGCGGCUUUUUGGCCUGCAACUGACACUGAGGCGCGAAAGCGUGGGGAGCAAACAGG
rnacentral:rRNA from 1 species